AUGCCUUCAUGUUCAAACUUCAUCCAUGGCAUAUGUCAAUUGUGCUUACAUAAAACCUGUUGGAUUCAUGUGCUUAACCUGCAGUCCAACAUCAUCAAUUACCAGCAUACAUUGGCAUCACCUGCUAAAGACCCGCAAUGCCAUAUACAAGCAACCCUACAUCAGUAUAUACACAUAUGCCAAAACAUCAUGUACAUGCUAGACCACCAAUGUAACAUGUACCAGACCUGCUACAAACUGCUGUCAAAAACAACAAUGCACCAUUGGUUGACAAAAUCCAGCAUGCAUCUUCAAGAUAGUACACACAUAUCCUCCUAA